rnacentral:lncRNA from 1 species
GGUUUCUACCCCACCUUAGUACCAGCAAACCCUCUGCUGAGCCCUCUCCUGCUUGAGACCUGGUGACCAAAGUUGUUUUGGACCUGGAACUGCUGCCCUGGCAUACUGUGUAUUUCUGUGGAAUCAGCCCUCUUUUCAAAGAAGCCUCCGCCACAAGAGGACAUGACUAAGCAAAAGAGGAAGCUUAACUGCAGCAAAAUUGAUCAGAGCAGACCUGGGAUGCUGAUCCCUUUGUGUUGUGCUCAGCAAAGCAUCUAGCAGAAAUCCUGCAGCCCUCCACUGGGAUUCAUCCAGCUGCUGAGCACCACACCUGCAUCUCCUCUGAUAAAAUUGGGCCAGAUCCUGGAAGGUUCUGAGUGUAACCCAUUUUGGAGCUGAGGUGCUUCAGA